rnacentral:rRNA from 1 species
ACGCACGCUGGCGGCGUGCUUCACCCAUGCAAGUCGCACGGAAAGGCCCUGCUUUUGUGGGGUGCUCGAGUGGCGAACGGGUGAGUAACACGUGAGUAACCUGCCCUUGACUUUGGGAUAACUUCAGGAAACUGGGGCUAAUACCGGAUAGGAGCUCCUGCUGCAUGGUGGGGGUUGGAAAGUUUCGGCGGUUGGGGAUGGACUCGCGGCUUAUCAGCUUGUUGGUGGGGUAGUGGCUUACCAAGGCUUUGACGGGUAGCCGGCCUGAGAGGGUGACCGGCCACAUUGGGACUGAGAUACGGCCCAGACUCCUACGGGAGGCAGCAGUGGGGAAUAUUGCACAAUGGGCGGAAGCCUGAUGCAGCAACGCCGCGUGCGGGAUGACGGCCUUCGGGUUGUAAACCGCUUUCGCCUGUGACGAAGCGUGAGUGACGGUAAUGGGUAAAGAAGCACCGGCUAACUACGUG